AUGUUGGGAGAACUGAUGAUGAAGUACUGAGGUAGUACCAGGUAAACACUCACUGUGCUGUGUCACUUUGGAGCACAACAACAGGACAGAAUCAGUCUUUAAUGGUUUAACAUCGUCCCUUCUGUGUGAUCCUGUUUACAAUGUUCAUGAACAGGAUUUAAAGGCUCAGUCGCGGUGAGGAGAGUGUUCGGUUUGGGAACCUCAGGAUUGCAGGACAGUUUGCAGCUGAGUGCAGAUCUGUCAGGAUGGGAGUCUGAACCUCCAAGUCUGAGAACGUGGUUCUCUAAACACUGCUCCCUCUGGGUGGGGUGGGGGGGCUGCAGUGAGGUUGAGACAGAGCAGGAGGUUGACAGGUGGAUUGUUGCAGCGUCAGCCUGACGGCAAAGCUCUCAAAUAACCAGCUGAUCUACGUUCGAACCCUCAGCUGUGGUCAUGAACUGUGGAACGUGACUCUGCAGGCUGUCUGGACUUAGAGACAGAAUGAGAAGACAUGACUGACAACCACAACACUCACGCAUGCGCAAACAGGAUAUGAUGAAACUGACAGGCCACCUUGAUUUAAAUUUGUGGAUUUGUUUUAUGGUUUAUUGGAAACAUUUGGUAUCAGUUCAGAACACAACUAAAAAAAUGUAUGACACUGACUUUUAAUAUGGAAAAGUUACAGAUUAUUCCUUUAAACCAACUGAUUUCAGUCAAAUAACUAAAUGUAAUAUUCUUGUUUAAAUUAACACCAGACAUUGUGUCUGAAGGAGAACUGAGAAUCUGUCAGUUUGAAAAGACACCGAACAUUUCUGUAGGAGUCCUUCAAUGCAUUAUGCAUGGGCACUCCAGCUUUAAAUGUGACGUCAGACGCCGUAAGUCGCACACGUUGGUGCAGGUCGCGCGACGGUGGGUCUGAACAGAGAAACUGAUUCAGAGACACCAGGACGAGCUGGAAACACACCUGAACAGAACAGCGCCCUCGUGUUGUGAGAGAGGAAAAGACUCCUGGAGAACCUGGUCCUGUAAACUCGACAGAUCUACGAACCAGUAAGCGUCAUUUUUCUUUUUAUUCUCUGUUGUUGGUCACAGCGCCUCUCACACUCUCCUCUCUGUGUUUUGAAGGAGUCAUAUCAUGGGCAUUGUGUUGUGACUGUUGUUUAAAGGAUUGCAGAAUGGUUGGAAGCUUUGGGAGAAAAAUUCUAUCUCUGAUUAUGUAAAGUUUUUUGUGAAGUGGUGUAAACAGAGGUUGUGUUAAAGUCAGAAAUCUCUGUAAUCAGCCUGUUUACUGUGUAUUGAAGCUGUUUUGUUUUGGCUGCUGUGCUUUGAAUAUUGAUUUCUGUCUGAUCAGCUUGGAUCAAUAUCUGUGCUCUAACUUUUCCUUUUUAGGUAAAUCUACAGUUGGUGAAUCUCAUUUUAUCUUCUUUAAUUCUGUGUUGUGUUUGGAGGCUGCUGUGCUGUGUCUCUCUGUAUGGCUGAACAAUUAAUCCAAAUAUUACUGAAAUCCUAACACGACCAAGAUCUAUAUCCAAAUCUCAGGAGCUGCAGAUUUUUGCUGAUGAUAAAAUGCGUCAUUAAGAACAAAGCUUUGAGGUGUUAACAGAAGACAACAAAUCAAUAAUUGACAUUCUCCACAUAAAGGAACAGGUUUGUUUGGUAUCAUCAUUAUUCUAUUUAUUUUCAGAGAAAAUUACAUUCAAAACUUCCCACUAAAAUCAUGACUCAUCAUAAUAUCCUUCAAAAUAAAUAUGAUUUAUUAUUUCACUAUUUAAAAGUAGGGUCCAGAAACCUGUGAGGUAGGUUUUUAAUGUUACCUGUGAUUAGGGUCUUGUAAAUAUCUAUUAACUCUUCUCAGACACAGUAACAGUGUGACGCUGUCUGAGCUCAGGCCUUAUUCCUGGAGUUUUAGAUAAAGCCAUCAGACUUGAUAAAAUCCAGAUCACUGGGAUUGGGUUUCAUUCAUGGCUGCUCAUCUGUCCAACAUGGUCACCAGUCAGCCCCCGCAGACAUCCGUCCAUCAAACUAUUUUGAUCAGUUUGGUUUGUGUCUUUGAGGAGCUGUUUCCUGAUUCAACAUGUUUGUAUGUGUUUUGGUAAGAUUUGGUGGUAGACCAUUGACAAAGCAGACAACUUGAAAUGUUUGACUUUGAUUUGUCCAAGUGCUUCAGCAGACUCGUCUUCA